GACGAACGCUGGCGGCGUGCUUAACACAUGCAAGUCGAACGGAAAGGCCCUGCUUUUGUGGGGUGCUCGAGUGGCGAACGGGUGAGUAACACGUGAGUAACCUGCCCUUGACUUUGGGAUAACUUCAGGAAACUGGGGCUAAUACCGGAUAGGAGCUCCUGCUGCAUGGUGGGGGUUGGAAAGUUUCGGCGGUUGGGGAUGGACUCGCGGCUUAUCAGCUUGUUGGUGGGGUAGUGGCUUACCAAGGCUUUGACGGGUAGCCGGCCUGAGAGGGUGACCGGCCUCAUUGGGACUGAGAUACGGCCCAGACUCCUACGGGAGGCAGCAGGGGGGAAUAUUGCACAAUGGGCGGAAGCCUGAUGCAGCAACGCCGCGUGCGGGAUGACGGCCUUCGGGUUGUAAACCGCUUUCGCCUGUGACGAAGCGGGAGUGACGGUAAUGGGUAAAGAAGCACCGGCUAACUACGUG
rnacentral:rRNA from 1 species